rnacentral:snRNA from 1 species
GGAUGUGAGGGCCAUCUGGCUGCGACAUCUGUCACCCCAUUGAUCGCCAGGGUUGCUUCGGCUGAUCUGGCUGGCUAGGCGGGUGUCCCCUUCCUCCCUCACUGCUCCAUGUGUGUCCUCCCAAAGCUGUGUGCUCAAAUGAAGAGGACAACCUUCUCCAUUAGGAGGACCGUCCUUAGGUCAAGGGUAAAUGAAGAGCUGCCCUCCCCUGCUUGAACAUCCAAACAAAAGCCAAAAUCGCUGCUAUCAAGUCUGUUCUGACUCAUGUAGGUCAGGGGCAGUUCUGUGGGUUUCUGAGACUGUAACUCUUUACAGGAGCAGAAAGCCUCAUCUUUCUCCU